UAUCAGUACAUGAGUACCUGGGGUUUUUCUACACCAGCUUUGCUUUAUGAGAGUACUAUUACUAUUCCUCCGCCUUGAGUGGACUGAGGGCUGAGGGUGACAGCCCAACACAGGACUGAGGGGGGCAGUUCCUGUGGAGUUCUUCAUGGGGGAUAUACACAUGCAUGGUGCUGAUUGGAUAGAGAUAAUUAUGAUUGAACCCACCGUGAUGAUUUUGUUCUUCUAAGAGAGAUGCCAGUUAACCAUGGCACUUCAUCCUAGAACAGUACUCUAUGAAGUGUACACCUGGUGCUGAGAUUGGUACAACACAUGCAGUUGUUGGCUGUAUAUGUUUUAGAAGGAAUACUAUCCUAAUGCAGGAAUAGACUGUUGGGCAUUGAGGUUGCACUAUUCCUCAUGUAGGUAUAGACUGUUAGGCAUAGACUGUUAGGCAUGGAGGUUGCAGUAUUCUUGAUUUCUCUCCUUGGAAAUACACCAGAUGCUGACAUCAGACAGGAUCUCGUUGACCAUAUUACAAUUUGCAUGAAGAGUAGAGACGGGCAUCUUUCUAUUGUGGGAACAGUAUCAUUAUUCCUCCGCCUUGAGUGGACUGAGGGCUGAGGGUGGCAGCCCAGCACAGGACUGAGGGGGCAGUUCCUGUGGAGUUCUUCAUGGGGGAUACACAUGGUGCUGAUUGGAUGCAGACUUUGUUGGCCGAUAGAUUUCGGAUCACCUCGGAAUCCAUGUACAGUGUACCUUGUGACAAAUUUUCCUGGUUAUUGGUUUGACAUAGUUUUUGGGCAGCAUCAGUAUUGGCAGGAUUUCUAUUCCUUAAAUCUGACUGCAUCGAUGAUGGAAGUUUGGUUUCAUUUCUUCAAUUGCUGAGAUCGGCUAUUGGAAAUAUUGGACCAUAUUAUUCAUUGGAUCAGUGGGGUUUCUUUCCAGUAGCCUAGCUUUACAAAAGCACUAUUAUUAUUCCUCCACCUUGAGUGGACUAUGGGCUGAAGGUGGCGGCCCAGCACAGGACUGAGGGGGGCAGUUCCUGUGGAGUUCUUCAUGGGGGAUACACAUGGUGCUAAUUGGAUAGAGAUUACGGAUCACCUCAAAAUCCAAGUAAAUGACCUAGUGAAGACUAUUCCUGGUUCUGUGGUAACUGAUAUGACACAGUUGUAUGGCAGUAUGCAUAUCAGCAGGAUUUUGACUGUACUGAUGAUGGCAGUUUAUUUUCAGUUCUUCAGUGGAUAUAUAUGCUUCAGUUGAGAUCAGGAAGGUGAAAAAUUCAGUGAAACAUUGCUUGAAACAUUGUACAAAGGAUUUAAAAGAAAAGAUAGCCUUGCUUUAUGAGAGCACUAUUACUAUUCCUCUGCCUUGAGUGGACUGAGGGCUGAGGUUGGCAGCCUAACACAGGACUGAGGGGGGCAGUUCCUAUGGAGUUCUUCAUGGGGGAUACACAUGGUGCUGAUUGG